AUACAUAGCAGUUAGCCAGUUCAUGCUGGUGAAGACUAAUUUUAGCGAGAAACCCCGACUGUGUUUUACAUUCUAACAUGCGAUGUUAGUAUGCUUAAACGAUAUCCGUUUUCUCAAAGAGGGCAAUGUUUGCUAACCUGGUAAUUCAAACCUACUGCUAAUGUAAAUAUUCACCUUACCCAAACACCGGUCAUUCUUGUGACGGUGCGUCAGAAUAAAAUUCCCGAAUGGAAACUGGAGCUAGAGUUUAGAGUUCUGGUUGUGAAACACGGAACAAAGAAAUCUGAGACUGAAAAUCCAGAGUGGUGAGGAAUCAAGUGGUAGAAGACUUCACUGACCUCUUAAUAUAACCUCUAUGACUGCAACAGGGUUCCGUGGUAAUGGCCUGGUCACGCCACCUUGACAUGUGGCAGCAACUGAGGGAUCAGGGGUCACAAAUGCAGUCCUACUGGUGAGGAAGGGCCUCCAGCACUGACUUACAGGAGUGGAGGGCUCAUAGGUUCCCAUAUAGAGGAAGGGACUACCACAUGGUUCCUCUUUAAGAAGAUUGGAUCCUGCCCACUGCCUGGCUUUCAUUAUGCAAUCACCGCUCUGUACUUCCUGCAUCCAACCCACAGACUGACUAACUAGCCGUUGGGGACUUCCACUUCCAGCCACAGGACACCCGUUGGACCCAGAGAUUGACCGGCCACAGCCUGAACAACAAUGCUCUUUUCUGGGAUACAAACCUGGGGUCAAUACUGCUGCAUCUCCUCUCCUGCUCCAGCAGAUGUGGAUCCCCAUGGUGACAGGAGAAGAACACCAGAGACACUGCAGAUGGAUGAGUUACACAUCACAAAGAGGAGGAGACAGAAUGACAGAGGCUAAGAGUAAUGACAGCUUCGCCAGACAACAGAAUCCUCCCGCCGUGCCACGCCUGCUAAAACAGCCCCGUCACAUCGUAUCCUAGCAGCACCCAGGGCAAAUAGACACUACUCUGUCAGAGGAGGAAUUCAUACCCACAAAGCACUGCUGCCAGACCCCCUCUCUUCCAGUCUCCCCCAUCGCGCACAAUCAUCUUUAGGUGUCACCAUGUCCACACACCCACUCAGGACCAGAGAGGCAGACGGGGGCUUUGGGGGAGGUAGGGGUGUGCAGAAGCCUGUCUAUUUUGAGGUCAUGUUUGAUAAGCCCUUCCUAUGAAGUGACGAGAUGAAAUGACAGUUUGCCAAAAGCGGGUCACGGGGCAGGGUGUAGGCAGCCUAGCAUGGUCGUCUAUGGACAUAAUUAGCCAUUCAUUAUCAUAUCAGUUAAUUACUGGACUACUGUUGUUUUCUCUCAGGAAAGAUCUCUUCUGGACACCAGCUCAACAUCGGGAACAGAUUUCUGAUUCAUACGUAUUUUGUUCCUUUUUCUCUCCGGUUCCCUUAUUAUAAUAGUUGUGAUGGGAAAACAAUGGCUUUGCUCUUUAUUCUAGCUGCAGGCGCCAUCUGGGAGCGAGACGUGCAUUACAGGAGCUAUCCAUAUGGUCGGGGCAUCAUGACUUUGCUCAUCUCAUCUCCCGUCAACAUCUCUUCUGCUCAAGUCCUCUCUCAAAUGAUCCACAUACACGUUACUAACAGAAAGACAAAAACAUGCUUGUGUUUAUGUAUUUUUGCAGAGAUUAUACAAAUGUACACGUAACAGUCGGUAUUAGAUUAACAUUUUAAACUCAUGUCUUCAAUACUCUUCAAAUGUACAUUUCCUCAUGAAUCGGGUGCUAUAGAUUGUAUGAAGAGUCUUAAUCUGAUGAUAGUACAUUUAUUAUAAUACAGAAAAUGAUUUGCCACCUCCAUAUCAUCCCCACCCCCAGUCGUUGUUCAGUGUCGGGAGCUGGGGGCUUUUUUAAACCCAUCUGCUGUCUCGCACCUUCUAAUCUGCCCCCCCCCCCCCCCCCCCCCCCCGGAACCCAAUGGCAUCGUACUCCUCAUCCUGUCCCCAUCCUACCCACCCAUCACCCAGUGCAUAAUAUAUUCCCCCUGUAACCAAAUACUACAGCUCACAUUGUAUUAAGCCACAUUGCAUAUGCUUAUAACACACACAGUGAUGUUUACAGACCUGUCAUCUGGAAUGUACUGUAGGCUAGAUGUAAGAUAAGUGUAUCUAUGUAUAUUUAGAAAUAAACAGUGUCAAUAUUAAAUCUCUGUGUGUUUACUAAUUAUGACAAAUUCUUAUUCUACUCAAAAUCAACACUUAUUCGUCGCAAUUACUUUUUUUAUUGUCGUCUGUUUUUUUGAUCAGCUUUCUUUAUGUUUACAAAUGGAAAACAUUCUCUGUCCAGUGAUACUUUUCAAUGUGUAGCUUUGAGAGAGAGAGAGAGCGAGAGAGAGGAUGUCCUAUGUUGAAACUCAACCUUGACUGUGUACAUCAGACCUCCAAACAACUGAUGCCCUCUUCCUAUCGUGUGUGUGUGUGUGUCCACGGACCAGCCGGGAGAGGGUCCUAAUCCCUGUGAUUCCACAGAGUG